GACCUGCAGACUCUGGAGCGCGCUGCGGCCCAGGGCUCCGCUGGCCCGACUUGCUGCUGGUUGCCGUGAGGAGCCCACUUUCCCUCGCUUGAAGAGACCACCCCUGCCUUCCCUUUGUGUCAUAAUGAGUCAGCUGAGGCUGCUGCCAUCCCGGCUUGGGGCACAGGCUGCGAGGCUCCUGGCCCCACAUGAUGUCCAGGUGUUCAGCUGGUGCAGCAGGUCGUCUGGGCCACCAGCCACCUUCCCAAGCAGCAAAGAUGGAGGUGGCUUUAGUUACAUGGAGGAGAUGUACUUCGCCUGGUUGGAAAACCCCCAGAGUGUCCACAAGUCCUGGGAUAGCUUUUUCCGGAAAGCCAGUGAGGAAGCCUCUUGUGGCUCGGCUCAGCCUCGGCCUCCCUCUGUCGUCUCUGCGAGUAGGCCGGCCGUCUCAAGCCGGACCAAGACCAGCAAGCUGGUGGAGGACCACCUGGCUGUGCAGUCGCUGAUCCGGGCCUACCAGAUCCGGGGCCACCAUGUGGCCCAGUUGGACCCCCUGGGCAUUCUGGACGCAGACCUGGACUCCUUUGUGCCCUCAGACUUAAUCACAACCAUCGAUAAAUUGGCCUUCUAUGACCUGCGGGAGGCUGACCUGGAUAAGGAGUUCCAGCUGCCCACAACCACCUUUAUUGGGGGCUCUGAACACACCCUUUCUCUGCGGGAGAUCAUUCGGCGCUUGGAGAGCACAUACUGCCAGCACAUCGGUCUGGAGUUCAUGUUCAUCAACGAUGUGGAGCAGUGCCAGUGGAUCCGGCAGAAGUUUGAGACCCCUGGCGUGAUGCAGUUCCCCAGCGAGGAGAAGCGGACUCUGCUGGCCCGACUGGUGCGCUCCACGAGGUUUGAAGACUUCCUGGCCCGAAAGUGGUCCUCAGAGAAGCGGUUUGGCCUGGAGGGCUGUGAGGUCAUGAUUCCGGCCCUCAAGACCAUCAUUGACAAAUCCAGCGAGAUGGGGAUUGAGAAUGUCAUCCUGGGGAUGCCACACAGGGGCAGGCUGAAUGUGCUGGCCAACGUCAUUCGCAAGGACCUGGAGCAGAUCUUCUGCCAGUUUGACCCCAAGCUGGAGGCGGCGGACGAGGGCUCUGGAGACGUCAAAUAUCACCUGGGCAUGUAUCAUGAGAGGAUCAACCGAGUCACCAACAGGACUAUCACUCUGUCACUUGUGGCCAACCCCUCCCACCUGGAAGCCGUGGACCCUGUGGUGCAGGGGAAGACGAAGGCAGAACAGUUCUACCGUGGGGAUGCCCAGGGCAAGAAGGUCAUGUCCAUCCUGGUCCAUGGGGACGCCGCCUUUGCUGGCCAGGGGGUGGUCUACGAGACCUUCCACCUGAGCGACCUGCCCUCUUACACCACCAAUGGUACCGUGCAUGUCGUUGUCAACAACCAGAUUGGCUUCACCACGGACCCCCGAGUGGCCCGCUCCUCACCAUACCCCACUGACGUGGCCCGUGUGGUCAAUGCGCCCAUCUUCCACGUGAACGCAGAUGACCCAGAGGCCGUGAUAUACGUGUGCAGUGUGGCGGCUGAAUGGAGGAACACCUUCAAUAAAGACGUCGUGGUGGACCUGGUCUGUUACCGCCGUCGCGGCCACAAUGAGAUGGACGAGCCCAUGUUCACACAGCCGCUCAUGUACAAGCAGAUCCACAGACAGGUGCCUGUGCUGAAGAAGUAUGCAGACAAGCUCAUCGCCGAGGGCGUGGUCACCCUGCAGGAGUUUGAGGAAGAAAUCGCCGAUUAUGACCGGAUCUGUGAGGAGGCAUACGGCAGAUCCAAGGAUAAAAAGAUCCUGCACAUAAAGCACUGGCUGGACUCCCCCUGGCCCGGCUUCUUCAAUGUGGAUGGGGAGCCCAAGAGCAUGACCUGCCCAGCCACGGGCAUUCCUGAGGACGUGGUGACCCACAUUGGCGACGUGGCCAGCUCUGUGCCCCUGGAGGACUUUAAGAUCCACAUGGGCCUCUCUCGCAUCCUGCGGGGCCGUGCGGACAUGAUCAAGAAGCGGACGGUGGACUGGGCGCUGGCAGAGUACAUGGCCUUCGGCUCCCUGCUCAAGGAGGGCAUCCACGUGCGGCUCAGCGGGCAGGACGUGGAGAGGGGCACAUUCAGUCACCGGCACCAUGUUCUCCAUGACCAGGAAGUUGACCGGAGGACGUGUGUCCCCAUGAACCACCUGUGGCCUGAUCAGGCCCCCUAUACCGUGUGCAACAGCUCCCUCUCGGAAUAUGGAGUCCUGGGCUUUGAGCUGGGCUAUGCCAUGGCCAGCCCCAAUGCCCUGGUCCUCUGGGAGGCUCAGUUUGGUGACUUCCACAACACAGCCCAGUGCAUCAUCGACCAGUUCAUCAGCACGGGUCAGGCCAAGUGGGUGCGGCACAAUGGCAUCGUGCUGCUGCUGCCCCAUGGCAUGGAGGGCAUGGGCCCGGAGCACUCCUCAGCGAGGCCAGAGAGGUUCCUGCAGAUGAGCAAUGAUGACUCGGAUGCCUACCCUGCGUUCACCGAGGACUUCGAGGUGCGCCAGCUCUAUGAUUGCAACUGGAUCGUGGUCAACUGCUCCACGCCGGCCAGCUAUUUCCACGUGCUGCGCAGACAGAUCCUGCUGCCCUUCCGCAAGCCGCUGAUCAUCUUCACACCCAAAUCUCUGCUGAGGCACCCAGAGGCCAAGUCCAGCUUUGACCAAAUGGUGUCUGGGACCAGCUUCCAGCGGGUGAUUCCUGAGGAUGGGGCUGCAGCGCAGGCUGCUGAGCAGGUGCAGCGGCUCAUCUUCUGCACGGGAAAGGUGUACUACGACCUGGUGAAGGAGCGGAGCAGCCAGGGCCUGGAGGAGCAGGUGGCCAUCACGCGCCUGGAGCAGAUCUCUCCGUUCCCCUUUGACCUGAUCAAGCAAGAGGCAGAGAAGUACCGAGCUGCGGAGCUGGUGUGGUGUCAAGAGGAACACAAGAACAUGGGCUACUAUGACUACAUCAGCCCGCGCUUCAUGACCAUCCUGAGCCGGGCACGGCCCAUAUGGUAUGUUGGUCGUGACCCAGCAGCUGCACCGGCCACAGGAAACAGGAACACUCACCUGGUGUCUCUGAAGAAGUUUCUGGAUACUGCCUUUGAUCUCCAGGCUUUUGAGGGCAAGACCUUUUAGAGUUGGACACGGCCUGCCUGGUCUUGCAGGGUGUUGGCUGGGGACGUAGGGGGCUGGUGAGGGGAAGGGCGGUGCUCCUGCCCAGAAAAGGGGCUGUCAGGGGCCCCAGGAUGAAAGGUACACAGUGAUUAAGGCCAAAGAGUAGGCACCACUGGCUUCGGUAUUAUGCCACCUUGGACCUUUGCGUUUAUUUCAGGAUCUGUUAGGACGGAGAAAGCCAGAGGGGUCUGAUAGAUGGGAUGUAGUUCUGGAGUGUUUCCCCAGCUGCCCUGGUCUUUCUGGAAUUUUUAUGUGGCUUCUCCAUCUGAGAUGUUCAUGUCUCUGCAGACAGCCACCCAGGAGCCUGUGUUUUUGGUCUCUCUCCCAUCUUGGCAGAUCUGGCUGCUGCUCACCCUGUCUUUGUUCAUCUGUAGAUUCAAGGGAUGUUCUCUUUCGUGCUCUUAGAAAUAGAGAUUUCAGCAAUAACACCCAGGUGAAGCAGGACCAUGCCAGGCGAUUUAUCUGUGCUCUGUUUUAUGGGGCGUGUCGUAAUGAGAUAUGUCAGCUUCUGUGUGAAAUACAGCCACAGCUCACGUGUACUGAAGUAGAAAACCAAAUAACAGAGAAAUAAAAAAAUGCUUCAGAGAGCUUUUCUGUUUUUGUUUCAUGUUGUAAAAUUGGUGGAAGAGGCAAAUGGUUUAGAGAGGGCAGGGAAUGGGGAGAAAGAAAAAACUCAACAUGUGGAGAAUAGAAUGUUGGCCUCCAUUGGACGGUUUUCCCUGGAGCACCGGGCGGUGUUUGCAGAUCUGUGGGCGUCUCCACUCCUUAGGCUUGUGUUGUCGUAGCCCAGCAAAGAUGCUGGGGAAGCCUCAGCACAAGGGAGAUGUUUUGUUUUCUGCAAGUCAUUUAUUCAUUUAUCCCCUUCUCAGAGCACUUCCUCUGUGCUAGACGCUGGGGCCUGGGGUGAAAGAGGUGUGUGUCUGUGUGCUGGCUCUUCCAAUUCAGGAGUCCAGCUGGGGAGAUGUGUAAACAGUUUAAUUCACUGAGUUACCAGUUAGGUUGAAGUGCAGAGGGUUGUGGGAGUCAAGGAAGGCUCCCUGGAGGAGGUGGUGUUUGAAGGAAGAAGAGUCUUACAGGAGAACACGGGAGAGAGGACUCUCCCAUGGAGCAGACCCAGAAAUACUGACCAUGGCGUUGAGGUGCGGCAACCUGUGCACUGAAUGUAUACACUGAGGAGCAUAUUCACAAUAGCUAAAAUGUGACAGCAACCCAAGUGUCACUCAUGGAUGAAUGAAUAAGAAAAAUGUGGUAUAUACAUGCAAUGGAAUAUUCAACCUUAAAAAGGAAGGAAAUUCUGACAUAUGCUACAACAUGGAUGAAACUUGAGAACAUUAUACUGAGUGAAAUAAGCCAGUCACGAGAAGAUAAAUAGUGUAUAAUUCUGCUUAUGUGAGGUACUUAGAGUAGUCAAAAUCAUAGAGACAGAAAUAGAAUGAUGGUUGCCAGGGGUUGGGAGAAGGGAGAAAUGAGGAGUUAUUAUUUAAUGGGUAUAGAGUUUCAGUUUUGCAAGAUGAAAAGAGUUCUGUAGGUGGAUGGUGGUUAUGUAUAAUAUCACAAAUGUAUUUAAUACCACUGAUCUGUGAACUUAAAAAUGGUU